rnacentral:rRNA from 1 species
AGUGGGGAAUUUUGGACAAUGGGCGCAAGCCUGAUCCAGCAAUGCCGCGUGCAGGAUGAAGGCCUUCGGGUUGUAAACUGCUUUUGUACGGAACGAAAAGGUCUGCCCUAAUACGGCGGGCCCAUGACGGUACCGUAAGAAUAAGCACCGGCUAACUACGUGCCAGCAGCCGCGGUAAUACGUAGGGUGCGAGCGUUAAUCGGAAUUACUGGGCGUAAGGCGUGCGCAGGCGGUUAUAUAAGUCAGACGUGAAAUCCCCGGGCUCAACCUGGGACCUGCAUUUGAGACUGUAUAGCUAGAGUACGGUAGAGGGGGAUGGAAUUCCGCGUGUAGCAGUGAAAUGCGUAGAUAUGCGGAGGAACACCGAUGGCGAAGGCAAUCCCCUGGACCUGUACUGACGCUCAUGCACGAAAGCGUGGGGAGCAAACAGGAUUAGAUACCCUGGUAGUCCACGCCCUAAACGAUGUCAACUGGUUGUUGGGAAUUCACUUUCUCAGUAACGAAGCUAACGCGUGAAGUUGACCGCCUGGGGAGUA